AGACUUGUGUCUUAUGAUUGAUCAACUUUUGAAUUGAUUUUUGUUAACAAAAUUUUAUGAGGCAUCCUCAGACAAGUGAAGGGGAUCCCGUUCUUGCUUCCAGUCUCCUUCCAUUUCAAAAACAGAUGGACAAAAAAAGACAGCAAUGCCAUAAUUUCACUUAAUUUCUUAGUGAAAUUAAGAUUAAAGCCUCAUGUUUUACUCUGAUGUCAUAUCAUUCUUUAUAUAAAUGAAUAUUUCAACCUAUUUUCUACUACAUCUGCAUUUUUUAGUGAAUCAGAAUAGCCACGAAACUAAGAACUCCAUGGUAGGAUCAUAAACCACUUUUAAGAUCACAUAAACUAUAAAAAUUCCAAGAUAAUUUUUUCUUCAUUAACUCACCUUCCAAAGAACAGCCCUCACUUUUUGCUUAAUACAGUAUCAGUGACUUCAAAGUUUCUUUACAUAUACCUCUUUUAAGUUGUAACUGCAGUGACACCAGUACUCCAUAUGGACAAGCAGUGGACUUCUGGGGUGACAGAGGACCUGCAGUGGAAGUAAAGGCAUGAAUGGUUGUCCUCAGGCCUGCAGGUUAAGAAGCAUCUAGAAGACAAACCAGACUCUCCCCAGACUCUCUGUGUAACACACAGCCUACCAAAGAAUUCCUCUGGCCCGGUGUGCUGUGUGGGUGAAAGAAACGAGUUUGUCCUGCCUCGCUGCUCUCUUCUUGGCCUGAGAUCAGCACGUUGUUGAGCACGCAGCAGAUCGUGACCAGAGGCAAUGGCCUCUUUCAACAGCCCAGUAACACGUGCUGGGUUGAGAGCUGCUGACUUUAAAGAGCUGAGCCUCCUUCUGCCAAGAAUGAAGCCUUUAUCAUGGUUGCUGUAUUGAAAAGUGAGACAUAGGUGAGAAAGAAAAAUACUUUUAGAGCAUUUGAAGAUUAUUUCAGUUAUAGUUUUAAAUUUAUACAGGAUGUAACUAACAUUUCUGUCUGAAUUUACCCACUGUAGUAAGAAUAGAUCUUAAUGAAUGUUUAAAGCCUGAGCAGUUUAUGAAAGAAAUUAUAUAACAUAGUGUUAUAGAAGCAGUGGAUUGAAUUCAGUGACCUAAAAAAUGCUUACAUUUAUUUCUGUCUUAGGAAGUUCCUAGGUCUACCUGUCAGCAGCAGGACAUAUUCCCAGGAAAUCAAUUAUACAUGUAAACAAAAAUAUCAUGGAGAUUAAAGAACAUAUGAAAGACCAAGCACAGUUCUUCUUUCACAACACCGUGAAUCAAGAGUAACUUCACUGAAGCCAAUGAGUUAUAGCAGUGUGAGUGAGAAAAGAACCAGCUCCAUUGCCUGAAAAUUACUUGGGCCACCCAUGGAGUCCAAUCAGAGGAACUGCAGGCAGAUAAUAUUACAGCAUUUAAUUCAGAAAUCCCAAGUCUGAAUAGAGGAGACUGAAAAGAAAGGAACUGAAUUUGAUUUUGGUUUUUAAAAAAACCCUGAAAAAUAGCAGGAAAAUGGUGAAUGGAAACAAAAAAAAAUUACUCCAUUUCUAAAAAAAUCUCUCUCCAAAAAACAAUUUGCAUAGACCAAAGAACAAAUCUGUAUGCUUUGGGCUUUUUUUAACACCAUGCGGGUACCCAGUUAACAGUGGCUGAGCUGUAUGCUUCCCUGAAGGCAAAGUGUUAUCUUGGCUUUCCAAACAGCAGACACAUUUUGUGAGUUGAUGCACACUGUGCUACACCUACCAGAGGAGUGCUGCAGAACGAGGGUCAGACCUUUCCAGCACAGGUCACUGUAACAUAUCCUACCACAUUUUUAGGUAGUAACAUACCUUCACUUUCCCUGCUUUAGUUUACUCCCUCUAAACACACGCUCCAUUUUUC
rnacentral:lncRNA from 1 species